rnacentral:sRNA from 1 species
GAGAGGGAGAGAGCAGGUGGACGUGUGAGUCGAACGCUCCCGCGGUGAGGAUCCGUCCCUCGCCCGAGAUGAUGUCGGUGGACGGUCCGAUCCGCAGUCCGGGAUGCACGCCGUCGGCGAUGUCCGGGUUCCCCGACCGGCCGAGCGCGACGAUCCGCCCGGCUCGGAUGCCGACAUCGGCUCGGAUGACGCCCCACCAGUCGAGCACGACGACGUUGGUGAUCACCGUAUCGGGUGCCCCUUCCGCGGUGGUCGUCGUUCCCUGAUUCAUC